rnacentral:rRNA from 1 species
AGAGUUUGAUUCUGGCUCAGAACGAACGUUGGCGGCGUGGAUUAGGCAUGCAAGUCGAACGCGAAAGGGGUAGCAAUACCCCGAGUAAAGUGGCGAACGGGUGAGUAACGCGUAGGAAACCUGCCUUCGAGAUGGGGAUAACAUUCCUAACGGGGUGCUAAUACCGAAUGACACUGCGAAGUCGCAUGGCUUUGCAGUCAAAGGUGGCCUCUGCUCGCAAGCUACCACUCGAAGAUGGUCCUGCGUCCCAUUAGCUAGUUGGUGAGGUAACGGCUCACCAAGGCUACGAUGGGUAGCCGAUCUGAGAGGAUGACCGGCCACACUGGGACUGAGAUACGGCCCAGACUCCUACGGGAGGCAGCAGUCGAGAGGCUUCGGCAAUGGGGGAAACCCUGACCGAGCGACGCCGCGUGGAGGAUGAAGGCCUUUGGGUUGUAAACUCCUGUCAUGUGGGAAGAAACGCCACCGCGCGAAUAGUACGGUGGUUUGACGGUACCACAAGAGGAAGCUCCGGCUAACUCCGUGCCAGCCGCCGCGGUAA